ensembl:lncRNA
CGGCACGGCACGGCACGGCCCGGCACCGGGCAGGGUGUCGGGAGCCACGGCGGGGCCUCGGGUCAGGCCCCGCUGCUCCUGCAGGGUCAUCCUAGACCGCAUGGCACAGGACUGCAUCCAGAUGGUUCCUGAGUAUACUCAGGGACGGAGACAGCAGCCUCUGGACAGUCUGUUCCAGUGCCUGCUCGCUGGCAAUGCUGUUCUUCCUGCUGAGAGCGCUUGCUUUCUUGGGACAUCCUCACCACAGCCCCUCACGGCCUCCCCAGGGCAGGAACAGACCCUGGACAGGGAGAAGGCUCUGGGUUCUGCAGCGCUCUCUGGGACAGCCCCUCUCCGAGGUGUGGAUCUGCCUGGGCAGGACCCUGGUACUCUCAGGCCUUGCACUCUCAGUGAUGCCACACUCACAGCUGUGUCUGCUGCUGCUCCCCAGCCCAUGGCUUUCAGUUCCGUGUGCUUGAAAUGUGACUCACAGAAUGGCCACUCCCCAGCCCUGCCCGAUUACACGGCUCUGGGAUGCGCUCACCAGCCAGAUCUGAUACCGGGCACACAGCAGGAAGACAAGAGAGAAGGGCACUUCCAAGAGGCACUUCUGCUUCAGGACAGUGCUGCUAGAAGGCAUUUUCCCUCCUACACCUGUGCAGGUCCUUCAUCCUUCUCCUGGCCUACCUGCAGGGGUUUGGUUGGAAGUGUAUUCUGUGCAGUGGCAGUAGAGAGCUUCAAGAGACCUGCCCUCAGCAAAUAUGCUGGCUGUGUUAUUCAUUGAGCUGUAGCUUAGAUCACCCUGGUAACACAGCUCUGCCAUCAUAAGGCAGCUGGGAGCACUUUGGUAAUUCUGUAAUCACAAAUGUCAGACUAGGUCAGGAGUCUCCAAACAGUUUGGAUCACUGGAGUGUAGACAACACUGAAAACUUAUUGCGCCCUAUUACUAAAAUUAUACCUAAUACUAUGUUUUCAUAUGAUUCUAUAGAGUCCAUAUCAUGGCUCAUGGGGCACAGUAAGGAAACCACAGGCCAAAAUACUUCAACUGUAACUAACUUAAGGUACCAUUAAAGAGACUCUGUCUAAGUCUCCUCACCUUUUUGUGUGUGAAUCAAUUUUCGGUGGUAGAGCACGGACAGUGAUAUAUGUUAGAUACGCAAUGCAAGAGCCAAAUGUUCAUAGGUAUUAUACACCUGCUGACUUAAAGCACCAAUUUAAAAGGACUGGGAAAUAACCUGAAAACAAGCACAGUGCUAGACCCAUUUUAAAGUGAUUAUCUUAGGUAAUUUUCUUUAUGAAAAAUGACACCAAGCUUGGGUUUCUCACACAUGACUGCAAAGCGUUAUUGGUGAAGAACUGGUACGCAGAUGUUUCUAAGGUCUCUAAAGCAGAAAUCACAAGCACAGAGUUUACUGCAAAUCUGGGACAGAAAUUCAUACUUGCUUAUUACUCUUUGGAUAUUUUUUCUCAAAAGAAUACUGAUUUAUAUAUAACUAGGGAUGUUAAUAUGGCUCUUUGUAAAUUUUUUUGCACUUGGGGGAAAAGAUAAUAAAGGGAGUGUUUGAGAAAAUACCUGUUCUGAG